rnacentral:rRNA from 1 species
AGAGCAAAGGGGGGGUUAGGGUUUCGUGAUCUACAUGGUUUUAACCUUGCCAUGUUGGUGAGGCAGGCUUGGCGCAUGCUCACUGUCCCUGACUUUUUGUGUGCUCGAGUUCUUAAGGCCAAGUAUUUUCCGGCAACUUCUUUACUGGAAGCUGAACCUAGACAAGGAAUUUCGUACACAUGGCGAAGUAUAUUGAAGGGGGUUGCACUGCUGAAAGAGGGGCUCGUUUGA